UCCAGUGUGGCUGGGUAGGAUUUGUGCUAGGUGAAGAAGCAGGGAAGCAGACAAGCUGAGCCUUGCUCACCCUGCAGGUGCUACUAUGGCUCCUGCCCCGCCUAGAAGCCGCAGCUGCCUUGCAGGAGCGGUGGAUCCCCGCUGGACCUCCCCACCACCCUCUGUGGAGAAGAAACAAGACUGACCAUCUCCCCAUCCAUGUGAGGUCUUACGUGCUACGCCCACUUCAUAACCCACAUCGGGGAUCAACAUGUCUGCCCAGGAAUAAACCCUUUGAAGUAAUACCAGCAAGCAGAGGCUACCACACAGCCCCUGGAAGAGUCCAACGACAUCAUUUGUUAAUUGGAAGACAUUUUUGAUGCCUCCUUCCUGCACCAGUCCACUCCUCUAAGGGGGGAUGGGGACCCUUAGCCCCAGUCUCCAGGGAAGGGGUGUGGUUAGGCAAGUUUAACAGAAACUAGAAAGCCCUUUAACAGGAAAAUUGGGCUGGAUGGUUGGGAGGCUGCCUGUGUCAUGUCCCCAGGGUAGGGGCUGGCAUGGGGGCUGCAGGUUGGUUACUGUGGCUACCACACAAGGUACCUAAAAAUCAGCCCUGGCUUGAAGAAAAGCAUUCAUGUCAGUUGACGCUUUCGAUCAAUGAGGUCAGCUCCUGUAAAAAUCAAACACACAUACAAACAAAUAAAACCAAAAUGAUUUUCAAGGUUA